CCAUCGCUCAACGGAUAAAAGGUACUCCGGGGAUAACAGGCUGAUACCGCCCAAGAGUUCAUAUCGACGGCGGUGUUUGGCACCUCGAUGUCGGCUCAUCACAUCCUGGGGCUGAAGUAGGUCCCAAGGGUAUGGCUGUUCGCCAUUUAAAGUGGUACGCGAGCUGGGUUUAGAACGUCGUGAGACAGUUCGGUCCCUAUCUGCCGUGGGCGCUGGAGAACUGAGGGGGGCUGCUCCUAGUACGAGAGGACCGGAGUGGACGCAUCACUGGUGUUCGGGUUGUCAUGCCAAUGGCACUGCCCGGUAGCUAAAUGCGGAAGAGAUAAGUGCUGAAAGCAUCUAAGCACGAAACUUGCCCCGAGAUGAGUUCUCCCUGACUCCUUGAGAGUCCUGAAGGAACGUUGAAGACGACGACGUUGAUAGGCCGGGUGUGUAAGCGCAGCGAUGCGUUGAGCUAACCGGUACUAAUGAACCGUGAGGCUUAACCUU
rnacentral:rRNA from 1 species